AUGCCAGAACCUCGGGUGCUGAAGAUGUUCUUCGUGCAGCAGCCUCUGGGGCAGGCAGAGGAAGGCUGCAGGAGCCUGGGGGGCAGCCCAGGGGCUCCCAGGGGCUGCAGGGAGCUCUCCUGGGNNNNNNNNNNNNNNNNNNNNNNNNNNNNNNNAGCAGGGAGGCUGGGGACAGAGGGGCUGGUCCCUGCUGGCACACCCAGCCAGCCCCAGGCCCCUGCCCCCUGCCCGGGGCAUUCCCCAGAGCCUGCAGGGAGCAGGGCUGAGCUGACUGGCUCUGACUGCUCCAUACAGAGGGGACACAAAGCCACAGAGAUCUCCCCUUCCUUCAGCCUGGGGGGUGAGGGCUCCUUCUCCCUGCUCCUGCCUCAUCCCAACUUCCAGUCCACUCCAGGGCUGUUCCUCAAGAGAACUGGGAAGGCAGAAGGACCUGGUGGAGGCCUGGUGAUGCUUUCAGACCUUGGGGCCUCUCCUUCCUGUUCCAGUGAAGAAGCCCCGGGGACAUCCCCUGCCCCUGGGGAGCAGCCCCCUCCCCAGAGUGCUGUGGAAGAGACCUGUGGGCAUUUGGAGUCCCUGAAGCUGGAAUCUCCCUGCCCUGGCAGGAUCCAGUCUUUCCCCUCGCUGGGCUUCCUGGAGAAGGUGGGAGCCUGGGACGUGGGCCAGCCCCAGCAGGGUCCUGCUGCCAGCAGCUCCCGUGUGCCAGGGGCAUCUCCUGCAAGGGAAGCCUGCAGUGCACCUCCCAGGCCCUCAGGCUGUGUCUCAGCAGUCCAGAGAAGCCCGGGAGGCCCCGAGGACAGUGGUGCUGGUGCCUGCAGGGGCACAGGCUCUCUGGGAAGCGUGCAUUUCCCCCGCAGUGCCCUGAGCAGGUCCCAGUCUGACAGCACCGUCAACGCUUCCAGCAGGAGCAGAGCCCCAAAGGGGGAGCACAGCCCUGCUCUGGGGGGCUCUGGCAGCUCCACCCCACGGAAGGUGCUGCCUGCAUCUCCUGCUGGAGAUGUGCAGAGCACCUGGAGGCGAGGCUCAGCCCCAGACGUGUUUGUGUCCAGUGCUGCUCAGCUCCUGCAGAAGGAUGGCAGCUCCCCAGCUGAGGAGCACCAGGACUGUGAGGAGAAGGGAAAUCAGUCCCUCAGCCUCAGUAUUCCCACUGGUCACGACAUCGUGGACAGCUUUGGAGCCAUUUCCUUGGAGAGUCUGAAUUUUCCUGUUGGUCCUGAGGAGCCUCAGGGGGCCCUGGUGGUGCCCAGGCCCUGCCCCAGUGCAGGAGGGAACAGCCCCAUCCCCCCUGGAGCAGCCCUGCAGACCCCCAAGAAAGAAGAGUUCAAUAUUGAAGAAAGGAUCCCGGUAAGUUUGCUUCUAAUUCCAACUCUGCUUCCAGAGUUAUCAGUUCUUUUCCCCAGGUUAACCAUUACUUCUCCCAGAGUUACCCAUUUUUUUUCAGUU
rnacentral:lncRNA from 1 species